rnacentral:rRNA from 1 species
CCUACGGGUGGCUGCAGUGAGGAAUAUUGGUCAAUGGACGAGAGUCUGAUCCAGCCAAGUAGCGUGAAGGAUGACUGCCCUAUGGGUUGUAAACUUCUUUUAUAUGGGAAUAAAACGUUCCACGUGUGGGAUUUUGUAUGUACCAUAUGAAUAAGGAUAGGCUAACUCCGUGCCAGCAGCCGCGGUACUACGGGGGAUCCGAGCGUUAUCCGGAUUUAUUGGGUUUAAAGGGAGCGUAGGUGGAUUGUUAAGUCAGUUGUGAAAGUUUGCGGCUCAAACGGAAAAUUGCAGUUGAAACUGGCAGUCUUGAGUACAGUAGAGGUGGGCGGAAGUCGUGGUGUAGCGGUGAAAUGCUUAGAUAUCACGAAGAACUCCGAUCGCGAAGGCAGUUCACUGGACUGCAACUGACACUGAGGCUCGAAAGUGUGGGUAUCAAACAGGAUUAGAUACCCUUGUAGUC